ensembl:snRNA U6 U6 spliceosomal RNA
GUGUCGCUACGGUGGCACAUAUACUAAAAUUGAAUCAAUACAUAAAAGAUUAGCAUGCCCCCUUAAAGGAUGACACGCAAAUGCGUUAAUCGCUCCAUAUGUAA